AAGACGGGCCGCUUACAGCCAUUACGCCAGCAUCCUAGCAGAUGCGCGGACCUCAGUCCGGGCUGGUUGCAUUACGCCUCCCCUAUAAGGUCUCCCCAAAGAGAGAUACGUGACAGAGGCCUUUAUCCAACCGCCCAAACUGAUGCUGGCCUGCCCAC
rnacentral:rRNA from 1 species